rnacentral:rRNA from 1 species
UACGUAGGGUGCGAGCGUUGUCCGGAUUUAUUGGGCGUAAAGAGCGUGUAGGCGGCCAUGCAGGUCCGUUGUGAAAGCUCGAGGCUCAACCUCGAGACGUCGAUGGAAACCGCAUGGCUAGAGUCCGGAAGAGGAGAGUGGAAUUCCUGGUGUAGCGGUGAAAUGCGCAGAUAUCAGGAAGAACACCAAUAACGGCGAAGGCAGUUAACUAUUCUGCUACUGACAUUGAGGCACGAAAGCGUGGGGAGCAAAACGG